CGUUAAUAAUAGAAGAACGGAAAAAAUCCAUAAACCGUUAUAACCGAGAACCCGACGGGUUAACUAGUGACUUCGACCACCGUUCCACCAGAGGUAGUCUCUACAGUGUCCCCGACAGUUCUUGAGAUUACCGUAACUGUAUCGAUUCGACCACUUCGUGAACCGUCUCUUGGCGCCCUAGUUCCCGAAACUGCCUCCGCUGCAGCAGCUGGGCUGGAGCGACGAGUGCCUUCUCACGCUGCACGAGUAGGGCCGUCGAGACCCUCCUCAGUAUUUGUUCCUGUUACGGCUACGGUAGUUUCGUUUCAUGUAGUAACUCCGACAAUUGGUGGGUUGUCUGGGGCUCCGGCUGCUCUAAGACCGUUUCUUCCCGCACGACUAGGAUGGCCUGUAGUACCGGUUGAGGCCGCCUCACUACCACUCGACGAAGUUCACCCGACGACCCGCAGGUUCUCCGUGAACUGGAACGGCCUAGUGCGAUGGUAGCCGCAUUAGGUCCGGCCUAGACACCUCUCGGGCCGCAUCGUGGCAGUGUCUAACUAUUCCCGGCCUCGAAGUUACUGUUUAGGUGAUAUAAGUCGUGUAUCGGGUUGAGUCGUCCGUGCUCGGUACAGCUGUCAGCCCCACCGUGAGCCCACGUACGAGCGGAACUGUCAGUAGUUCCAGCGUUAUCUCAGCCACCUCCGACACGAGCCGCUGCGACUCUCUCUCAGAUAGUUCGUAUUCAGGUACGACAACACCGACUUCACUGAAUACCUACGGCUGUACGAACUUCUAAAACUUCUACUUUGGCUGGAGUUGGACCCACGUCGGUGCUACUUCUUCUUAUUCUACGGUGUAUUGUACUCUAGCUACGUUUUCGCGUAUCUUUUCUAUUUUCUCCUGGCACUCCUCGCCGUUCCAGGGCUGUAGGUCCUAUGUCGUCCUAUACACCUCCUCCGUCUUUAGUAGACCUCCUGACUACUAACGUAUAGAACCUCGUCGUCAAUAAAGGGGGAGGAAAACUGAUAUCACCAACCUCAGUCAUCCAUCACUAAUCUCAUUCAUCCAUUAUGAAAAGUAACCUUAUAUUGAACGUUCAACUACCUAAGUCUUGGAAACACGAUACUUUAUGUCAAUGUCAUCCUCUAAGUCUGUGACAAGAACACUAACACGGUGAUCUGAUAACGGUAAAGGGUAAUUUUAAUCAAUCCUUAAAACAUAUAAAUCCGCGACAUACGGUGGCAUAACUUACCUGUAGAACCUUUUGGUUUUAACCGAGUUAAACCUUCCUACCAACGAAAUAUUCUUAAAAAACGGACGAAACGUGCGCAACGGUGUACACGUAAGGGUACGGAGUAGGUAUUAGUAACAGCUGUUUAUAACGUCAGCGGAAAUCGUACCUUGUCUUAUUCAUACCGGGGAUAAAAUCAAGAGAGACAGUACAAGCGCACGUGUUGGAUAAAACGGUUACUCGUACAAAUCGUAGACAAACAACCAACGGACCAACGGACCAAGAAUAACAACAGGAUCAACAGAUUAAAAAGAAUAACAACAGGAUCGACAGAUCAAUCAUGGUCUUGAGACAAUCUCAUUUCGAUCUACACUGUGGACAAUGCCAUAACAAUGGGUUGUCUGAAUCCGGAUCUAAAUAAUCAACAUUUAAACAAUGGAGUUACUUACCGUAAUGAAAGCUUCGUUUUGUGCUCGACGUUACAUGG
rnacentral:rRNA from 1 species